ensembl:lncRNA
GAAGUCAGACUACGCGAAGUAUGCGCAUGCGCCGCGGCCAAAGGCGCUGAACGUUCCAACGAACUGACGUCACAGUAAGGUCUCUUGGUGGUCAAAAGUACACAACUAUCCAGAUCUAGUGUGAGGACGGAGAGUGAAAGACUGGAAAAAGUGAUAAUUUGUUCAAAGCUGUCGCGAAAAAGUGAAUUCACGGACGAGAUUGUGGAAAAAUGAACGUGAUUCCAUUAGAUGAACCAAGUGAACCGAGGUGCAGUAAUCUCAGCGUGCCUCUGUUCGGAUUUGAAAACAUUGAACACUGCCUCAGAAAACAUUUAGCCUAUUUAUCGCGCAAACAGUGGACGGCAUUAGCCACUGAUGACAUCACCUCGGAUGUCGUCAAUCUGCUGACUAAAAUGUGCCGAGUACUCAUAGAGGACAUUAGCAGCUUAGUGUUUAAAGUCGUACGCCCACAGGUUUUAUGCUGCCCACAUAAUCAUGAUCGUGGAGACAACGAAAGCUCCGAUGACCGGAUGAAUGUUGAACCUCUGGUUGAUGGGUGCAGUUACUGCAGGGUGACAGAGGAUGAUAUUCAGGCCAGCCUCAGAAACAUCUUUGAUAACUGUUUUGGUUGGGUCUUGGGUUUUGGGCAACGGCGGUCUCGUGACUCAGACAAACUACUGACUUUAUUUUCAGUGUCGAUUGCAAAGAAUGUAAACUCAGCCCUGAGUCGUAUCACAGGGUCCACAUCCUUGCAAUCAGAUAGGUCCAGAUCCCCAACAAACCUUGUUGGGAUGGUUUACAGUGUAGUCAACAUUUUAGAAGACUAUGCAAAGACCUUAGCUCCCCUUUCUGUAGAUGGUGAGAGUAGCAGCGACAGCAUUGUUGAAAUGCCAGAGUCUGAGGAAGAUAACGACUUUAAACCAGAGUCUGUAGAGACUUUUAAAAGCACACAGACUCAAGCUUGUGUAGGCAAGGAACGUUUGGUUAACAAGGGCCACAGUGAUACAUUUCAAAUCAUUGAUGUCCAAAAUCUUGACAGUGAGAGCUCAGAGAGUGAUGAAAAAUGUAGUGAUGCCCUGCAGUGUUCGUCUGGGACACUUCCUCGCCUACAGAGAUCGAUACCUUUCUCAAUUUGUGUCUUGCAAAUUUAGUCAUUCACGUUUCUGAGAAAACACAAACAUUUGCUGUAAAGUUAAAUUGUCAGCAGAUAGUGACUGAUAUAAGAGAGAAGAUUGAGGGAGACUUGACUCCUCUAAAAACUGUAAAAAACUUGUACAUCAUAAUGUACAAAGACCUGUGUCGCAAAUUUGGAUCCAAAUACGUGCUUCCGUUUGUAAUGGAAAAGGCUGAUGCGACUUUUGUAGCAGCCGUUGUGGAGCUAUUAAAAGCAGAGCUCAAAAAAUUGGCCAGCCCCAGUAACGUGCUGAGAAGUUUAGAAAGUAACAAAAGCGUUUCUCCAGCCGGUAAGAACAAAACGCAACAAUCUGCUACUGAGCAAAAUGGAUCCACAGAUUCCCAGAAAAACAGGCCGAGAAACCGUAUCGUUAGGGCCCUCACUUCUUUUUUUAGAUGUUUGAGGACGCUAUUCAGUUGCUGCAUGAGCAGUGAGUCAGAAACAGAGUAAUUAUCUUCAUAAUUACUCAAUGCAUGCUCAGUGAUCCAGGUAAGUCAAUCCCAAGAGGUGGAAUCUGUUCAUGUGGAUGUAGCGUUCUCAGCAGGAGGCGUUUUCUCCCGCUGUGAACGCUAUGUCCACAUGAACAGAAUCCACCUUUUGGGGUACCUUCAUAAUGUUACAACAGUUACAAUCCUCUUUUCAAAAAAUAUGCAGCAGUUUCAGCUGUUUGUAAGUCAUUUAACACAGGUUGCGGCAGAAGACCUCCCCUCAUCGAGCCUGGUUCUGCCGGAGGUUUCUUCCUAUUAAAAGGGAGUUUUUCCUUCCCACUGUCGCCUUGUGCUUGCUCAGAGGGGGUGGUCUGAUUGUCAGGGUUUUCUCCCCAAACUGCAGGGUCUUUGCUUUGCAGUAUUGAUUAGACAGUCAGACCACAGGACAGAUUUUCAAAUCUGACUCUGUCCACCAUAUACUGAUUUUGAAAGGAGGGUUGUAACAGCAGCAUGUCGGCUCUGUGGGACUUCUCACAGUGCAAAGACAUGCACUUUGAUUGGACACUCUAAAUUGG